GCGUCAAGAAACAAUUUAAUUCUCAGUCCUCCCCCCGCCUCUUUUCCCACAAAAACCCUUUUACAUUUUUUUUUGUCGUUUUUUUUUUGUUUCGAAAGCAAAGCUUUGAGGAUAUUCAUGUCUUGUUGGAAAUAAAACCUUUUUGGGCUUUUUCAAUGAGCGAAACAUUCCGACUGCUAGAGUACACUUUUCUUUCCACACCAGU